UGCGUGUGUGCGUGUGCGCGUGUGUGCGUGUGCGCGUGUGCGUGUGCGUGUCCCGCAGAUAUAUAGAUGCGAUGUAAGAGAUUACAUUAUCAAACAACGGUGCGAAAACGUAGACUUUUAUUAAACGUGCUUCAUUGUUGGAGACGGACUCAACGGCGAGGGACAAACAUGUACACCAUCCUCUAUAUAUUCUAUGGCUCUCAGUACAAGACGUCACCAUGUGGUAGAAUUCAGUGGAUGGAGAGCACCACCUGAUGGACUCAGAGCUACAGAGCAGACGAUGAAGAUGAUGAUGAUGAGGAGCUUCUGUUAUUACCUCUGGAGUAACUGAGAAGGAGGAGGUCCCUCUACCUGUUCCUUAUAAAGACAGGCGGAUACACUGCAGUGGAGUGGGAAUUCAGAGGAUUCAGACAAGGCCACAGCAGCUCAGGCAGGUGGAGAGAAGGAAGAGCUGUGCACACAAGCAGGACAGGAAGAAGGAGGAGGGAAAGAACUGCGAGAAACUAACUUGCCUUUCGGAGUCUAAGACUUCAAGUGUUUAGCAGACAUGCUGUCAAAAUCCAGAGGUCAGAGGGGCCGAUUGUAUCGACGGGUUUUAUUUUAGUGAAAAAGAGACGGAAAGCAGGCUCGAACAGCAAAAGCUUGUGAUGCAGAAAAGAACUAUGAAUCACUACAUGCAGUUUGUGCUGAAUGAACAGGGAAUCACAGCAUGACAUUUUCACAAUACCCUCUCUGAAUUUCAGCGUAUUUGCUUCCUCAGCUAACAUGUCCAAUUUGAUUUGGCCCAUACAGCUUUUGAAUUGGAUUUACACUUGGAAUCAUCAUCUAAACGCAAAACCUCAACUCCAUUCAUUUGUAAAUACUUUAUGAUUUAUGGAUGGCACGAUUGACAUAUUUAUGCAUAGAGUACUUGGAUGUAGAGCCCAG